UCUAAACUUAAAAUGACUUGGAACAGUCAAUCUAACCAAAACAUUGCAGGUUCUGAUGUAAAAAGGCGAAAUCACAAAAAAAAGUUCUGGGCCUUCAUCUGGACACAGUCGCACAACUUUAGCCGAUACAACUAGUACAUCAAAGUCACAGUCCACUUCCGGCGGAACUAACCGAUCUUUCUGGGAAACAUCAGACUCUGGAGCGCCCUCUAGUAGUUCGUCUGCGUUCCUGAAAAGCUGGUGAUACAGCGCCACCUGGAAGAAUGAGACAAACUUCACAGUCUAACUUCGGGGAAAUCAACCGCAAACUUAACCAUUUAAAUCUCUUUGGAUUUUGUUGGAAGGAAUCUGACCCUGAUAGUAC